ensembl:lncRNA
GUUUAGUUCUAGUAUCAGAAGUACAAGAAGGAAAAUGUAAGUUUCGUUCUGCUACAUCAAAGAUUUCAGGAUUAAAUUAACUAAAUGAGUCUUUAUGCCUCAAACUUUAUUUUUACAAUAAAGAAAUAAUGAAAUAAUCACAGAUAAUAAAAAUAUAAAUAGCAGAGAAAACCUGAGAGAAUAUUUUCCUGAAAAGUGUGUGAAGGAAAAGCAGCUUUUUUAUCCUGAAAGAUCAGAAUCAGCUCCAACAUCUGCAUCUGACAGCAUCAAGUCAACCAGAAAGAAAAGAAAAAAGAAAAUGACUUCUUUCUGAUCACAUCUGUUCCGCUGCUCACAGUCUGCUGAUGCUCACAUUCUUCACAUUUAUAGUCCAUUUUUAAAAGUUCAGCAGACAGGUGGUCUGCUUUGGAGUGUGACGAUGUCGUCGGUGAUGUGGAGAGUGAAGUUUCCGUUUCACCCACAGCGUGCUUUAGGGCAGCCAGAGUGAAAGUAGCAGUUCCUCCUUAAGGUCAGAGAUUGCAGCAUCUGAGGGCCUCUUCAAAAGAAGAUGUAGUUGAUGAAGGCGUUCUGGAGCAGGACCAGAAAGACCACGACCAAGCAGCCUUGAGAUCUUAGGCAGCGUCUCCCUCAGUUCUGCCGGGCCAGCUCAGCUUCCCCUCAGAAGAAGUGCAGCCACCUGCCAGAUGAAGGAGCCUUUUGAGAGGCAGCUGGCAUCGUGAUUGGACUGUACUUUGGUCUGUUCCAGUCCAGCUUCAGCUCCAGAGACGGCAGGCGGGACGAGUCAACGGAGGCCGGGUGGACGAAGGCAUGAAGCUGAGUACAAUCCAGAAAACAACAGAGGAGGAGUGCAGGGCCAGAACAAACAGAGUAGCAUGGUAUGUCUCUUAGAAAACAUCAUAGUAUAGCCUUUGGUAUGAAAAAACGCCAUCAUAUACAUCGUAUAUUGUACAAAUAACAAGUCAAAGCAAAGAGACAUACAUUGUAGAAUUGUAGUAAUUGUGGGCUGACUGAUUUACUGAUUAUCAGUAUUUUAUUUU